rnacentral:rRNA from 1 species
GACGAACGCUGGCGGCGUGCUUAACACAUGCAAGUCGAACGGAAAGGCCCUGCUUUUGUGGGGUGCUCGAGUGGCGAACGGGUGAGUAACACGUGAGUAACCUGCCCUUGACUUUGGGAUAACUUCAGGAAACUGGGGCUAAUACCGGAUAGGAGCUCCUGCUGCAUGGUGGGGGUUGGAAAGUUUCGGCGGUUGGGGAUGGACUCGCGGCUUAUCAGCUUGUUGGUGGGGUAGUGGCUUACCAAGGCUUUGACGGGUAGCCGGCCUGAGAGGGUGACCGGCCACAUUGGGACUGGGAUACGCCCCAGACUCCUACGGGAGGCAGCAGUGGGGAAUAUUGCACAAUGGGCGGAAGCCUGAUGCAGCAACGCCGCGUGCGGGAUGACGGCCUUCGGGUUGUAAACCGCUUUCGCCUGUGACGAAGCGUGAGUGACGGUAAUGGGUAAAGAAGCACCGGCUAACUACGUG